UAGGGUUAGGUAGGGUUUAAGGUUAGAAAUGGUUUAGGGUAGGUAGGGUUUAGGGUUAGGUAGGGUUUAGGGGUAGGGUUUAGAAUUAGGUAGGGUUUAGGGUUAGGUAGGGUUUAGGGUUAAUAGGGUUUAAGGUUAGUGGGGUUUAGGGUUAGUAGGUUUUAGGUUUAGGUAGGGUUUAGGGCUAGAAAGGGUUUUGGGUUAGAAAGGUUUUAGGUUAGGUAGGGUUAGUAGGGUUUAGGGUUAUGUAGGGUUAGGGUUAGGUAGGGUUUAGGGUUAGUAGGGUUUACGGUUAGUAGGGUUUAGGGUUAGGUAGAGUUUAGGGUAGGUAGGGUUUAGGGUUAGGGUUAGGUAGGGUUUGGGGUUAGGUUUUAGGUAGGGUUUAAGGGUUAUGAAGGGUUAGGGUUAGGUAGGGUUUAGGGUUAAAUAGGGUUUAGGGUUAGGUUUUAGGUAGGGUUUUAGGGUUAGGAAGGGUUUAGGGUUAGGUAGGGUUUAGGGUUAAAUAGGGUUUAGGGUUAGGUAGGGUUUACGUUUAGGGUUAGGUAGGUUUAGGGUUUAGGUAGUAUGAAGGGUUUAGGGAUUAGUGUUAGGUUUUUGUAGGGUUUAGGGUUAGAUAGGGUUAAGGUCUAGGUUUAAGUAGGCUCUAGGGUUAGGUAUGAUUUAGGGUUUAGGUAGUAGGAAAGGUUUAGUAUUUGGUUUAGGUUGGGUUUAAGGUUUGGUUUAAAAUAAUGCUUAGGAUUAUACUCUAAACCCUACUAACCCUAAACCUUUCUAACCCUAAACUCUAAACCCUACUAACCCUACCCCUAUAUAACCCUAAACCCUACUAACCCUAAACCCUACAUAACUUAAACCCUACCUAACCUAAACUCUACCUAACCCUAAAACCUUUCUAACCCUAAACCCUACCUAACCCUAAACCCUACAUACCCUAAAACCUACGUAACCCUAAACCCUACCUAACCCUAAAUCUUACAUAACCCUAAACUCUACCUAGCCUUAAACCCUACCAACCCUAAACCCUUUUUAACCCUAAACCCUACCUAACUCUAAACUCUGCCUAACCCUAAAAACCCUACCUAACCCUAAACCCUUUCUAACCCUAAACCCUACCUAACCCUAAACCCUUCAUACUAUCUAAACCCUAAACCUACCUAACCCUAAACAUAAACCCUACCUAACGCUAAACCCUAUUUAACCUUAAACCCUACUUAACCCUAAAACCCUACCUAAAACCUAACUCUAAACCCUACCUAACCCUAACUCUAAACCCUUCCUACCCUAAACUCUACCUAACCCUAAACCCCUUCUAACCCUAAAACUUACCUAACCCUAAACCCUUCAUACUACCUAAACCCUAAACCUACCUAACCCUAAACAUAAACCCUACCUAACGCUAAACCCUAUUUAACCCUAAACCCUACCUAACCCUAAAACCCUACCUAAAACCUAACCCUAAACCCUACCUAACCCUAACCCUAAACCCUUCCUACCCUAAACUCUACCUAACCCUAAACCCCUUCUAACCCUAAACCUUACCUAACCCUAAACCCUGCCUAAUCCUAAACUCUACCUAACCCUAAACCCUUUCUAGUCCUAAAUCUAACCCUAAACCCUUUCUAGCCCUUAAUCUAACCCUAAACCCUACUAACCUUAUACCUUUCUAAUCCUAAACCCUACCUAAUUCUAAACCCUACCUAACCCUAACCCUAUAUAACCCUAAACCCUACUAACCCUAAACCCUACCUAACCAUAAAACCUUUCUAACCCUAAAUCCUUUCUAGCCCUAAACCCUACCUAACCCUAAACCCUACUAACCCUAAACCCCACUAACCCUAAAUCCUACUAACCCUAAACCCUACAUAACCCUAAACCCUACCUAACUCUAAACCCUACCUAACUCUAAACCAUACGUAACCUUAGACCCUACCUAACCCUAAACCCUACCUAACCCUAAACCCUACAUAAUCCUAAACUCUACCUAGCCCUAAACCCUACCAACCCUAAACCUUUUUUAACCCUAAACCCUACCUAACCCUAAACCCUUCCUAACCCU
rnacentral:lncRNA from 1 species